rnacentral:rRNA from 1 species
AUUGAACGCUGGCGGCAUGCCUUACACAUGCAAGUCGAACGGUAACAGGUUAAGCUGACGAGUGGCGAACGGGUGAGUAAUGUAUCGGAACGUGCCCAGUCGUGGGGGAUAACUACUCGAAAGAGUGGCUAAUACCGCAUACGACCUGUGGGUGAAAGCGGGGGACCGUAAGGCCUCGCGCGAUUGGAGCGGCCGAUAUCAGAUUAGCUAGUUGGUGGGGUAAAAGCCCACCAAGGCGACGAUCUGUAGCUGGUCUGAGAGGACGACCAGCCACACUGGGACUGAGACACGGCCCAGACUCCUACGGGAGGCAGCAGUGGGGAAUUUUGGACAAUGGACGCAAGUCUGAUCCAGCCAUGCCGCGUGCGGGAAGAAGGCCUUCGGGUUGUAAACCGCUUUUGUCAGGGAAGAAACGGUCCUGGUUAAUACCUGGGGCUAAUGACGGUACCGUAAGAAUAAGCACUGGCUGACUACGUGCCAGCCGCCGCGGUAACAC